CCUACGGGCUGUAAACUUCUUUUAUAAAGGAAUAUAGUGAGGCACGUGUGCCUUUUUGUAUGUACUUUAUGAAUCAGGACUGGGUAACUUCGUCCUCUCAUCUGCGGUAACACGGAGGGUCCCAGCGUUAUCCGGGUUUAUUGGGUUUGAAGGGAGCGCAGCUGGGUUGUUAACACCGUUGGGAAAGUUUGCGGCUGAACCGUAAAAUUGCAAUUGAUACUGGCAGUCUUGAGUACAGUUGAGGUAGGCGGAAUUCGUGGUGUAGCGGUGAAAUGCUUAGAUAUCACGAAGAACUCCGAUUGCGAAGGCAGCUUACUGAACUGCCACUGACAUUGAUGCACGAAAGUGUGGGUAUCUAACAGGAUUAGAUACCCUUGUAGUC
rnacentral:rRNA from 1 species